rnacentral:rRNA from 1 species
GCAAGUCGGACGGUAGCACAGAGGACCUUGCUCCUUGGGUGACGAGUGGCGGACGGGUGAGUAAUGUCUGGGGAUCUGCCCGAUAGAGGGGGAUAACCACUGGAAACGGUUGCUAAUACCGCAUAACGUCGCAAGACCAAAGAGGGGGACCUUCGGGCCUCUCACUAUCGGAUGAACCCAGAUGGGAUCAGCUAGUAGGCGGGGUAAUGGCCCACCUAGGCGACGAUCCCUAGCUGGUCUGAGAGGAUGACC